GGGGAGAUAGGCCAUGUUGAUACCAUGGUAUUGUAGGUCUUAUUGGGUAGAUAGGCCAUGUUGAUAUCAUGGUAAUGUAGGUCUUAUUGGGGAGAUAGGCCAUGUUGAUACCAUGGUAUUGUAGGUCUUAUUGGGGAGAUAGGCCAUGUU